GAGUUUGAUCCUGGCUCAGGAUGAACGCUGGCGGCGUGCCUAAUACAUGCAAGUCGAGCGAACGGACGAGAAGCUUGCUUCUCUGAUGUUAGCGGCGGACGGGUGAGUAACACGUGGAUAACCUACCUAUAAGACUGGGAUAACUUCGGGAAACCGGAGCUAAUACCGGAUAAUAUUUUGAACCGCAUGGUUCAAAAGUGAAAGACGGUCUUGCUGUCACUUAUAGAUGGAUCCGCGCUGCAUUAGCUAGUUGGUAAGGUAACGGCUUACCAAGGCAACGAUGCAUAGCCGACCUGAGAGGGUGAUCGGCCACACUGGAACUGAGACACGGUCCAGACUCCUACGGGAGGCAGCAGUAGGGAAUCUUCCGCAAUGGGCGAAAGCCUGACGGAGCAACGCCGCGUGAGUGAUGAAGGUCUUCGGAUCGUAAAACUCUGUUAUUAGGGAAGAACAUAUGUGUAAGUAACUGUGCACAUCUUGACGGUACCUAAUCAGAAAGCCACGGCUAACUACGUGCCAGCAGCCGCGGUAAUACGUAGGUGGCAAGCGUUAUCCGGAAUUAUUGGGCGUAAAGCGCGCGUAGGCGGUUUUUUAAGUCUGAUGUGAAAGCCCACGGCUCAACCGUGGAGGGUCAUUGGAAACUGGAAAACUUGAGUGCAGAAGAGGAAAGUGGAAUUCCAUGUGUAGCGGUGAAAUGCGCAGAGAUAUGGAGGAACACCAGUGGCGAAGGCGACUUUCUGGUCUGUAACUGACGCUGAUGUGCGAAAGCGUGGGGAUCAAACAGGAUUAGAUACCCUGGUAGUCCACGCCGUAAACGAUGAGUGCUAAGUGUUAGGGGGUUUCCGCCCUUAGUGCUGCAGCUAACGCAUUAAGCACUCCGCCUGGGGAGUACGACCGCAAGGUUGAAACUCAAAGGAAUUGACGGGGACCCGCACAAGCGGUGGAGCAUGUGGUUUAAUUCGAAGCAACGCGAAGAACCUUACCAAAUCUUGACAUCCUUUGACAACUCUAGAGAUAGAGCCUUCCCUUCGGGGGACAAAGUGACAGGUGGUGCAUGGUUGUCGUCAGCUCGUGUCGUGAGAUGUUGGGUUAAGUCCCGCAACGAGCGCAACCCUUAAGCUUAGUUGCCAUCAUUAAGUUGGGCACUCUAAGUUGACUGCCGGUGACAAACCGGAGGAAGGUGGGGAUGACGUCAAUCAUCAUGCCCCUUAUGAUUUGGGCUACACACGUGCUACAAUGGACAAUACAAAGGGCAGCGAAACCGCGAGGUCAAGCAAAUCCCAUAAAGUUGUUCUCAGUUCGGAUUGUAGUCUGCAACUCGACUACAUGAAGCUGGAAUCGCUAGUAAUCGUAGAUCAGCAUGCUACGGUGAAUACGUUCCCGGGUCUUGUACACACCGCCCGUCACACCACGAGAGUUUGUAACACCCGAAGCCGGUGGAGUAACCUUUUAGGAGCUAGCCGUCGAAGGUGGGACAAAUGAUUGGGGUGAAGUCGUAACAAGGUAGCCGUAUCGGAAGGUGCGGCUGGAUCACC
rnacentral:rRNA from 1 species